GACGAACGCUGGCGGCGUGCUUAACACAUGCAAGUCGAACGAUGAUGCUGGAGCUUGCUCUAGUUGAUUAGUGGCGAACGGGUGAGUAACACGUGAGCAAUCUGCCCUUGACUCCGGGAUAACUGCGGGAAACUGUAGUUAAUACCGGAUACUUUCACCGGAAGGCAUCUUUUGGUGAUGAAAGAAUUUCGGUCAUGGAUGAGCUCGCGGCCUAUCAGCGUGUUGGUGAGGUAACGGCUCAACAAGGCGACGACGGGUAACCGGCCUGAGAGGGAGGCCGGUCACACUGGAACUGAAAAACGGCCCAGACUCCGACGGGAGGCAGCAGUGGGGAAUAUUGCACAAUGGGCGCAAGCCUGAUGCAGCAACGCCGCGUGAGGGAUGAAGGCCUUCGGGUUGUAAACCUCUUUUAGCAGGGAAGAAGCGAAAGUGACGGUACCUGCAGAAAAAGCACCGGCUAACUACGUGCCAGCCGCCGCCGUAA
rnacentral:rRNA from 1 species